GCACUGUUUAUUGUACCUCUCUCGACCCUAAGGACACCAAAAGCACGCAGGUUACCUUGUGAUUUGAAGAAACCUCGUUUGCGCGGUUCGGUAGAUGUCGCUGGAGCCAGGAUGGCGAAAAGUGCGGCAGACGAAGCACGGGUGACACACAGGUGAGUGGCAGUGGGAGCGAGGAGACGUCGUCCUGCACAGCGAACGCACUGGACACAAAGAAACGCGUGUUACGAACACUAACACUAAAGGAUAAGCUCCUGUACGCUAAAGCACGGCGUAGCCGAGGGUUCUGAUACAACCUGACGUCGAAUGACAGAGGACCGGGCUCUCUAUACUGCAGGCCGAUAACUAAUGGAUUGUAGGUUUGCCGGAAUGUCAGUGCUUCCGAGCUGCUCAUCCCCAUCGUAAUGACCUCCUCAGGGACCUGGAGAUGCUGUCUGCAAUGCCUUGGCUGUUUGCUGAAGGACUUUGCCACUUCUUGUGAAACAAUAAAGAGUGGCGACGGAGCGUGGUGCCGACUGUCCUCUUGUUAAAAGCUCUGAUGGCAGAGUGCAUACAAAACCCUCACAUAGAGAUGAAAAGAACAGUAACUUGCAGGGUGAAGCCCUCUCUCUUGGAACAAUGAUGGGGUAGGAUGGAGAGCAAAAAGUGUCUGUGAUAGAAAUUCUCCUUGACAGUUACCGAUGUCAGGCUAUGAAAUAUGUCCUCUGAAUAAAAAUAUGAAGCACAUUACAAUAAAGGAGCAAGCUAAAA